AGCUGCUGGUGAUUCAGUGGUUGAAUGCCCCCCAGAAAAGGAGCAACUGAUUACUGCCACAGGCUUGCACCAGUUGCACAUUCUGAUCUUCUUUUUGGCUGAGUUUCAUGUGGUAAAUAGUGCUCUUAUAAUGGUCCUUGGAAGAGCAAAGAUACACAGAUGGAAGGACUGGGAAACGAA